UACGAAGGGGGCUAGCGUUGCUCGGAAUCACUGGGCGUAAAGCGCACGUAGGCGGAUCUUUUAAGUCAGGGGUGAAAUCCUGGAGCUCAACUCCAGAACUGCCUUUGAUACUGGGCAGUCUCGAGGCCGGAGAGAGGUGAGUGGAACUCCGAGUGUAGAGGUGAAAUUCGUAGAUAUUCGGAAGAACACCAGUGGCGAAGGCGGCUCACUGGGCGUCGGUACUGACGCUGAGGUGCGAAAGCGUGGGGAGCAACAGG
rnacentral:rRNA from 1 species